UACAGAGAGUGCAAGCGUUAAUCGGAAUCACUGGGCGUAAAGCGCACGUAGGUGGACAUUUAAGUCGGAUGUGAAAUCCCUGGGCUUAACCUAGGAAUUGCAUUCGAUACUGAGUAUCUAGAGUAUGGUAGAGGGAAGUGGAAUUUCCGGUGUAGCGGUGAAAUGCGUAGAUAUCGGAAAGAACACCAGUGGCGAAGGCGACUUCCUGGACCAAUACUGACACUGAUGUGCGAAAGCGUGGGGAGCAAACAGG
rnacentral:rRNA from 1 species